UGGGCAUGCUGUCUUUUCUCUGAAGAAAGGCUGCUCGUUGGACAGAUGUUCUUGAAACGAUUAAGCAGAAUAAAGAGAAGCCAGUGCCUUGUAUGCACGACACACAGAAGAGUGAGAUCCAAGAGGAAGAGUGUGGGGGCGAGAGGGCCCCUCCAGAGAGAGAAAGAGGGGGUACCUCCAGACUGACAGUUUGGUUCCUGGCCUUGACCCCUGCUCUCCUUAGCUACACUUCUGAAAGACAGAGCCCUUGACCUUGUCCCAGCCUUGCCUUCUGAGUCUUCCAAGCAAAAACAGAUACAUUCCUUUGAUUGAGGCUUGUUUUCCCAUCUUGAAAAUGAGGUAGAACCGGUCACCAGCUAACUGCAAGGCUACCAGGAGGACAGUCAGUGGAAGUCAGCGAGUGCUGUCAGUGUCCCCCUGCACUGUUUGUUCUGUUCCCAAGGUGCUCCUCUACCACCCCUCCUCCUCCCAGCAAACUUUCCUGCUCACUUCACUGUCCAGCCUGAGCAUCCUGUCCUUUGUGAAGCUCCAAGCUACAAGGACAGAAUGAUGGCCUCUCACUUCUCCAUGUUUCCAGAAACCUGGUUCACAGCCUGUGGUCUUUAAUUUGCAACCUAAGUCUAAAUGGGUCACCCUUUCUUUCAAAGGUAAAUAAAAUAGGAACUUCCCUGGGGGUCCAGUGAUUGGGAUUCUGCU